GAUGUGGUUGCGCCCAGUGUGGGUACUUUCAUAUGACGUGGUGGUGUGUCCAGUGUGGGUACUUUCAUAUGACGUGGUGUGCCCAGUGUGGGUACUUUCAUAUGACGUGGUGUGUCCAGUGGUACUUUCAUAUGACGGGGUGUGCCCAGUGUGGGGACUUUUCUAUGACGUGGUGUGUCCAGUUGUCCACUUUCAUAUGACGUGGUGGUGUGUCCAGUUGUCCACUUUCAUAUGACGUGGUGGUUUGUCCAGUUGUCCACUUUCAUAUGACGUGGUGGUGUGUCCAGUUGUCACUUUCAUAUGACGUGGUGGUGUGUCCAGUUGUCACUUUCAUAUGACGUGGUGGUGGUGUGUCCAGUUGUCCACUUCAUAUGACGUGGUGGUGGUGUGUCCAGUUGUCCACUUUCAUAUGACGUGGUGGUGGUGUGUCCAGUUGUCCACUUCAUAUGACGUGGUGGUGUGUGCCAGUUGUCCACUUUCAUAUGACGUGGUGGUGGUGUUCCAGUUGUCCACUUUCAUAUGACGUGGUGGUGGUGUCCAGUUGUCCACUUCAUAGACGUGGUGUGGUGGUCCAGUUGUCCACUUUCAUAUGAGUGGUGGUGUGUCCAGUGUGGGUACUUUCAAUGAGGGUGUGUCAGUUGCCACUUUCAUAUGAUGUGGUGUGUCCAGUGUGGGUACUUUCAUCACCAUGUUUUUGAAUGAACAAAGUGCCUUGGCCUGAACCUGCCCAUGGUUACUCUGUCUGUGUGUGUGUUUGGUCUUUCUUU
rnacentral:lncRNA from 1 species